GUGACUGUAGCUCAGUCGGUAGAGCGACGGACUGUGGCUCCGUAGGUCGCGGGUUCAAGCCCCGUCAGUCACC
rnacentral:tRNA from 1 species